UACGGAGGGUGCGAGCGUUGUCCGGAAUCACUGGGCUUAAAGCGUGUGUAGGCGGAUCGUUAAGUACCUUGUGAAAUCCCACGGCUUAACCGUGGAACUGCUUGGUAUACUGGCGGUCUUGAGCCACUUAGGGGCUACCGGAACAAAUGGUGGAGCGGUGAAAUGCGUAGAUAUCAUUUGGAACGCCAAUGGUGAAAACAGGUAGCUGGGAGUGUGCUGACGCUGAGACACGAAAGCCAGGGGAGCGAACGGG
rnacentral:rRNA from 1 species